rnacentral:rRNA from 1 species
ACUCCUACGGGAGGCAGCAGUGGGGAAUAUUGCACAAUGGGCGCAAGCCUGAUGCAGCCAUGCCGCGUGUAUGAAGAAGGCCUUCGGGUUGUAAAGUACUUUCAGCAGUGAGGAAGGUGGUAGUGUUAAUAGCACUAUCAUUUGACGUUAGCUGCAGAAGAAGCACCGGCUAACUCCGUGCCAGCAGCCGCGGUAAUACGGAGGGUGCGAGCGUUAAUCGGAAUUACUGGGCGUAAAGCGCAUGCAGGCGGCCUGUUAAGUCAGAUGUGAAAGCCCGGGGCUUAACCUCGGAAUUGCAUUUGAAACUGGCAGGCUAGAGUCUUGUAGAGGGGGGUAGAAUUUCAGGUGUAGCGGUGAAAUGCGUAGAGAUCUGAAGGAAUACCAGUGGCGAAGGCGGCCCCCUGGACAAAGACUGACGCUCAGAUGCGAAAGCUGGGGGAGCAAACAGGAUUAGAUACCCUGGUAGCACAGAG